CAGCCGCCGCGGGAAUACAGAGGGUGCGAGCGUUAAUCGGAUUUACUGGGCGUAAAGCGUGCGUAGGCGGCUUCUUAAGUCGGAUGUGAAAUCCCUGAGCUUAACUUAGGAAUUGCAUUCGAUACUGGGAAGCUAGAGUACGGGAGAGGAUGGUAGAAUUCCAGGUGUAGCGGUGAAAUGCGUAGAGAUCUGGAGGAAUACCGAUGGCGAAGGCAGCCAUCUGGCCUAAUACUGACGCUGAGGUACGAAAGCAUGGGGAGCAAACAGGAUUAGAUACCCCAGUAGUCCCUGUCUCUUAUAC
rnacentral:rRNA from 1 species